rnacentral:rRNA from 1 species
UACGAAGGGGGCUAGCGUUGCUCGGAAUUAUUGGGCGUAAAGGGCGCGUAGGCGGUUUGAUAAGUUUCAUGUGAAAUCUAUGGGCUCAACCCAUAGCCUGCAUGGAAAACUGUCGGGCUUGAGUAUGGGAGAGGUGAGUGGAAUUUCCGGUGUAGCGGUGAAAUGCGUAGAUAUCAGGAGGAACACCGGUGGUGUAAACGGCUUUCUGGACCAUAACUGACGCUGAUGCACGAAAGCGUGGGUAGCAAACAGG